rnacentral:rRNA from 1 species
GAUGAACGCUGGCGGCGUGCCUAAUACAUGCAAGUCGAGCGAACAGACGAGGAGCUUGCUCCUCUGACGUUAGCGGCGGACGGGUGAGUAACACGUGGAUAACCUACCUAUAAGACUGGGAUAACUUCGGGAAACCGGAGCUAAUACCGGAUAAUAUAUUGAACCGCAUGGUUCAAUAGUGAAAGACGGUUUUGCUGUCACUUAUAGAUGGAUCCGCGCCGCAUUAGCUAGUUGGUAAGGUAACGGCUUACCAAGGCAACGAUGCGUAGCCGACCUGAGAGGGUGAUCGGCCACACGGGAACUGAGACACGGUCCAGACUCCUACGGGAGGCAGCAGUAGGGAAUCGUCCGCAAUGGGCGAAAGCCUGACGGAGCAACGCCGCGUGAGUGAUGAAGGUCUUCGGAUCGUAAAACUCUGUUAUUAGGGAAGAACAAAUGUGUAAGUAACUAUGCACGUCUUGACGGUACCUAAUCAGAAAGCCACGGCUAACUACGUG